rnacentral:rRNA from 1 species
GACGAACGCUGGCGGCGUGCCUAAUACAUGCAAGUCGAGCGAAGUUUUUCUGGUGCUUGCACUAGAAAAACUUAGCGGCGAACGGGUGAGUAACACGUAAAGAACCUGCCUCAUAGACUGGGACAACUAUUGGAAACGAUAGCUAAUACCGGAUAACAGUAUUUCUCGCAUGAGAGAUAUUUAAAAGUUGGUUAUGCUAACACUAUGAGAUGGCUUUGCGGUGCAUUAGCUAGUUGGUGGGGUAAAGGCCCACCAAGGCGACGAUGCAUAGCCGACCUGAGAGGGUGAUCGGCCACACUGGGACGGAGACACGGCCCAGACUCCUACGGGAGGCAGCAGUAGGGAAUCUUCCGCAAUGGGCGAAAGCCUGACGGAGCAACGCCGCGUGAGUGAAGAAGGAUUUCGGUUCGUAAAGCUCUGUUGUUAGGGAAGAAUGGAUAUGUAGUAACUAUACAUGUAAGAGACGGUACCUAACCAGAAAGCCACGGCUAACUACGUG